rnacentral:rRNA from 1 species
GGAGAGGAGAUUGGAAUUCUCAGUGUAGCAGUGAAAUGCGUAGAUAUUGAGAGGAACACCAGUUGCGAAGGCGGAUCUCUGGACGAUUCCUGACGCUGAGGCACGAAAGCUGGGGGAGCGAAGAGGAUUAGAUACCCUCGUAGUCCCAGCCGUAAACGGUGCGCACUUGCUGUGGGCGGAUUCGACCCCGUCCGUGGCGAAGCUAACGCGUUAAGUGCGCCGCCUGGGGAGUACGGUCGCAAGAUUAAAACUCAAAGAAAUUGACGGGGGCCUGCACAAGCGGUGGAGUAUGUGGCUUAAUUCGAUGCAACGCGAAGAACCUUACCUGGCCUUGACAUGUAGUGGACCGGGUGCGAAAUCACCCUUUUCUUCGGAACUGCUACACAGGUGCUGCAUGGCUGUCGUCAGCUCGUGUCGUGAGAUGUUGGGCUAAGUCCCGCAACGAGCGCAACCCCCGUGUUCUGUUGCCACCCGGAUGAGAAUCCGGAGCACUCUGGACAGACUGCCUGGUUUCAACCAGGAGGAAGGUGGGGAUGACGUCAAGUCAGUAUGGCCCUUACGGCCAGGGCUGCACACGUACUACAAUGCCCGGUACAAUGGGAAGCGAGACCGCGAGGUGGAGCAAAUCCUAAAAACCGGGCCCAGUUCAGAUUGUAGGCUGCAACUCGCCUACAUGAAGGAGGAAUCGCUAGUAAUGCCGUAUCAGCUACGACGGCGUGAAUACGUUCCCAGGCCUUGUACACACCGCCCGUCACAUCAUGAAAGUCGAUUGUACCCGAAGUCGCCGAGUUAACCGCAAGGAGACAAGCGCCGAAGGUAUGGUUGGUAAUUGGGAUGAAGUCGUAACAAGGUAACC